ACCAGGCCCCGGGGGCAGCGCAGACGCGGACGGCGGGGGAGCCGGGGCGGCUGGGUCUGUCCCGCCCGCCCCUCCCCGAGGCCGCGCCCGCCCCUCCCCGAGGCCGCGCCCGAGCUCGCAGGACCAGCGGUGACCACAGUCCCUCCCAAGAGGACCAGGACCAGCAGUGACCACGGUCCCUUCCACAGGGAACAGGCAGCGGUGACCACAGACCAUUCUCACGGGGACCAGGACCAGCGGUGCGGUGACCACGUCUCUCUACAGCUUAUGAGUGGUUGAACCAGAUGCAGAACUGCUCUCCAGAGGACUUUUGGAAAUUUGGGGAUGGAGAAGGAACUUUGUUGUCAGAAUGAUUAAGGAAUGUCAUCAAUAUUUCACAACUAGGCCCAGAAGUUUUAACACCUUGCAACGUAUAGGACAUCCCCGCCUAAAGAAAAAAUGCUCUUCCCCAAAUGCCAGUAGAUACCUGUAUUAGUCAGGGUUCUCCAAGGAAACAGAACUAAUGGGAGAUUCAUAUUCGUAAAUGGAGAUUUAUUAUGAGGCAUCGGCUCAUGUAAUCAUGAAGCCUGAGAAGUACCCUGAUCUGGUGUCUGCCACACGGAGAACCAGGAAAGCUGGUGGUGUAAUUCAGUUCCAGUCUGAAGGCCUGAGCAAUGGUGUAAAUC